rnacentral:rRNA from 1 species
UGUCCCAGCCGCCGCGGCAAUUCCAGCUCUAAUAGCAUAUAUUAAAGUUGUUGCAGUUAAAAAGCUCGUAGUCGGAUUUUGGGCGUGUGUGGGCUAUCGGCCUCUGGUCGGAUGGCGUGCGCGCGCCUUUCUGCUCGGAAUCCCCAUGGUAGGUUCGCGCCUCUGUGGUGGGUCACGGGCCGUUUACUUUGAAAAAAUUAGAGUGUUCAAAGCAGGCUAUCGCUUGAAUAGAUUAGCAUGGAAUAAUGGAAUAGGACCUUGGUGCUAUUUCGUUGGUUAUGGGACUGAGGUAAUGAUUAAUAGGGACAGUUGGGGCCGUUCAUAUUUCGUUGUCAGAGGUGAAAUUCUUGGAUUUACGAACGAUGAACUUAUGCGAAAGCAUUCGGCAAGGAUGUUUUCAUUGAUCAAAGAACGAAAGUUAGGGGAUCGAAGACGAUCAGAUACCCGUCGUAGUCUUAACCCAUAAACUAUGCCAACUAGGGAUCAUUUGAGGUGUCAAUCUACCACCUCAUUUGGCCCCUUGGGAGAAAAUAAA